AGCGAACGCUGGCGGCAGGCUUAACACAUGCAAGUCGAGCGGGUGUAGCCAUACAUCAGCGGCAGACGGGUGAGUAACGCGUGGGAACGUACCUUUUGGUUCGGAACAACACAGGGAAACUUGUGCUAAUACCGGAUAAGCCCUUACGGGGAAAGAUUUAUCGCCGAAAGAUCGGCCCGCGUCUGAUUAGCUAGUUGGUAGGGUAACGGCCUACCAAGGCGACUAUCAGUAGCUGGUCUGAGAGGAUGAUUAGCCACAUUGGGACUGAGACACUGCCCAAACUCCUACGGGAGGCAGCAGUGGGGAAUAUUGGACAAUGGUGGCAACCCUGAUCCAGCCAUGCCGCGUGAGUGAUGAAGGCCCUGGGGUUGUAAAGCUCUUUUGUGCGGGAAGAUAAUGACGGUACCGCAAGAAUAAGCCCCGGCUAACUUCGUGCCAGCAGCCGCCGUAAUAC
rnacentral:rRNA from 1 species